UCCAGAAUGUCUCCUACCUGGUCCUUUCUAU
rnacentral:piRNA from 1 species